AGGAUCUAAAUCUAAAUUAAUAACAGUAAGAAUUUCGACAACUUGGUUAGAAUAUAUCAGUAUUUUUAUCUGGAGUAAUAGUGUGUAAGAAUUGUUCAAUUGUUGUUUUUAGAAUUUUGAAACUACAACAAACAAUGCGAUUUUCCAGAUUACCUAAGCAUCAAAUUUAUUUGAUCAUUAUAUUAGGGUGUACCACUAGCUAUUUUGUGUGGACUGAACCUUUAAAGUCUUAUAUUCGAGAGAAUGUUCCUAAUAAUAAUUUAAGCGAAAAAAUAUCUGAUGGCGAGAAGUAAAAGAUUGUUGCCAUUACCAACAAAGGUGUUUUUAGGCGUAUCAUGUUGUUUAGUAGUCGUACAGUGUUACAGAUAUUACAAAUAUAAUUAUUUGAGAUUAGGUCGACACAAAGAAUCUGAAGCAUAUGCAAAUAUCAUUUAUAAAAGUUACAAAGAAAAAGAAAAAGUAGAAAUGGAAACUUAAGGCUUUUAAGAAUUUUUAACAUAUAUUUAUUAAUAUUUAAUAUGUGUACAUCGAUUAAUAUCUACAAUAUUGUAUGCAAUAUAUCAAUAUAUGUGUUCAUUUAAUAAAUGAUACAGCCAAUAAUUAUAUAAUACUAUACUUUAUUAUAUAAUAUAACAUCAUGAGUAU